rnacentral:ribozyme from 1 species
UGCCCAGCAACUCCUAUCCCUACCUCCUCGCGGUACUGGCCGGGGUACGAGUAACCUUAGGGAAGAUCGAGUAACCAACCCCGGUGGGAACUUUGGUCGUAUGCUGACAGGGAAGA